rnacentral:lncRNA from 1 species
AAUAACAAAUACGAAUGUCAGGGAAGCAAUUACUCCAGUUUGGGCUCUGAAAAGCUCUCCUGCUGAAUCGUUAAACAACCCUGGUUUUCUCUAACCUCUGUACGUUUAUCUGUAGAGAGAUUAAUGCUCUUUUGUUUUGGGUCAUUUUUCAAAAUGUUUUCCUCCUGUUUCCCGUUCAUUUUUCUCAGGAUGACUCUACUGUGAUGUGAUACCGGUUAGGACACUGGCUCCUCACCUCUGAAGAGAUGGAUGAGAAGACUUUAGCUUUUCAUAUUUGCCUCUUACAUUCAUUCAGUCAUAGACCACUGCACAGGAGGAAACAAAAAAGCAGGAAGAAGUACAGAAAUGGAGCAGAGAUACCACGCAAGUAGUACAGCUGAUGACAGACCAGACAGUAGACUUGAAGAGAGCUAUUUGCAUAAAAUAUGUUGCAAAAACUGGAUUUCCAAACAAAGGCUUCUGUUAAUGUAUUUCUUCUAUUUCAAUAAAAGCACAUUAAAAAAAAAAAAGAUGGUUAUUUGGAAUUGUUACACAUUACAG